CUGUGUUUUUUUGGCCAUGUCAGGAUGAGGACUUGGAUGUGUAAUGCCAUGGGCUGGAAGUGGUGGUGUCAAGGAGGGAGGGGUUCAUUUGCAAGCCCAAGAGGCUUUGCAGCGUGUUCAAGUUUCCCUUCCUGGUGCACACACUGGCUUGCGUCAGAGUGUGAGUCAGCGAACGGGUGGUAUGGGCUUUCAAGGAGUUGGGGCUGGAGCAGGAGGACAAGCCGUGAGCCUACGUACACCACACGCCUCUGUUCCCUCCUGUCAGGUGGGGAAGAUGAUGUUGCUGUGCUGCAGGUGGAUAUUGUGAAGGCAAACCUCACAGAAACGACAAGGGGCUCAGAUACCGCUGUCACGGGUCUGACUGCACCUGAAUAAAAGCUGCUGAAGUACACCCAGCUCCUUGCACGGAAAGCCGAGUCCUGCUGUUCCUGAUGGAAUCUUCCUGUCACUGCCAGAAUCUUUUCAAGAGCAAUUUCUCCAAGGCCUGAAUCCGUGCCCAUUGAAAGCAAAGGGAAAGAUUCCUAUUGAUGGCAGCAGGCCCAAAUAAGCCAGAGGUCUAGGCUGUCUUUGCCAGAAAAUUUUGUUUAUGUGCAUUUUGAUGACUUCUAAAGCUUCUCUUUUGUAGUUGACUUUCUUAUGGAGCUAACUUUUCAGUGAAUUUUUUCCAGACAUUUCACAUACUGUAUAAAGUGGGGUUGACAUGUUUCUGUUCCUGAUUCAGCACAGAAGAUCAUUUUAUCAGAUUAAUUUUUUAGAGACCUGCUUUAGUCAGGGUGCACUGUGAAGUACAUGCAAUAUUAAAGCAUUCUGCUGU